rnacentral:ncRNA from 2 species
AAAAACGUUACAAAUACUUCUUGUAUAUUUUCAGUAAUAUGGUCUGAACGUCUCUACCUAGUAGCCGUAAAAUACUAGACUACAAGAAAGUUUGAAUUAAUG